rnacentral:rRNA from 1 species
GACGAACCGAGCGAACGUUGUUCGGAAUCACUGGGCUUAAAGGGCGCGUAGGCGGUCUGUCAAGUCUGGGGUGAAAUCCCGCGGCUCAACCGUGGAACUGCCUCAGAUACUGACGGUCUCGAGGGAGGUAGGGGCGAGCGGAACUGAUGGUGGAGCGGUGAAAUGCGUUGAUAUCAUCAGGAACUCCGGUGGCGAAGGCGGCUCGCUGGACCUUUUCUGACGCUGAGGCGCGAAAGCUAGGGGAGCAAACGGG